GAUGAACGCUGGCGGCGUGCCUAAUACAUGCAAGUCGAGCGAACGGACGAGAAGCUUGCUUUUCUGAUGUUAGCGGCGGACGGGUGAGUAACACGUGGAUAACCUACCUAUAAGACUGGGAUAACUUCGGGAAACCGGAGCUAAUACCGGAUAAUAUUUUGAACCGCAUGGUUCAAAAGUGAAAGACGGUCUUGCUGUCACUUAUAGAUGGAUCCGCGCUGCAUUAGCUAGUUGGUAAGGUAACGGCUUACCAAGGCAACGAUGCAUAGCCGACCUGAGAGGGUGAUCGGCCACCCUGGAACGGAGACACGGUCCAGACUCCUACGGGAGGCAGCAGUAGGGAAUCUUCCGCAAUGGGCGAAAGCCUGACGGAGCAACGCCGCGUGAGUGAUGAAGGUCUUCGGAUCGUAAAACUCUGUUAUGAGGGAAGAACAUAUGUGUAAGUAACUGUGCACAUCUUGACGGUACCUAAUCAGAAAGCCACGGCUAACUACGUG
rnacentral:rRNA from 1 species